GACGAACGCUGGCGGCGUGCCUAAUACAUGCAAGUCGAACGCUGAAGAGAGGAGCUUGCUCUUCUUGGAUGAGUUGCGAACGGGUGAGUAACGCGUAGGUAACCUGCCUUGUAGCGGGGGAUAACUAUUGGAAACGAUAGCUAAUACCGCAAAACAAUGGAUGACACAUGUCAUUUAUUUGAAAGGGGCAAUUGCUCCACUACAAGAUGGACUUGCGUUGUAUUAGCUAGUAGGUGAGGUAAUGGCUCACCUAGGCGACGAUACAUAGCCGACCUGAGAGGGUGAUCGGCCACACUGGGACUGAGACACGGCCCAGACUCCUACGGGAGGCAGCAGUAGGGAAUCUUCGGCAAUGGGGGCAACCCUGACCGAGCAACGCCGCGUGAGUGAAGAAGGUUUUCGGAUCGUAAAGCUCUGUUGUAAGUCAAGAACGGGUGUGAGAGUGGAAAGUUCACACUGUGACGGUAGCUUACCAGAAAGGGACGGCUAACUACGUG
rnacentral:rRNA from 1 species